GUGAAUCAUCAAAUUUUUGAACGCAAAUUGCACUCUCUGGUAUUCCGGAGAGUAUUCCUGUUUGAGGGUCAGUUUAAAUAAAAAUCUGUGUGUUUGCUGCCUUUCUUGGUGACGCACCGGAUUUGGUUCGUCUUUCCUUCUGUUACGUGACCUAAAAUUUUUCAUGAUUUUUUCGCACGUA
rnacentral:misc_RNA from 1 species